rnacentral:tRNA from 3 species
GCCUCUUUAGCUCAGCUGGUCAGAGCGCAUGAUUUGUAAUCUUGAGGUCGUUGGUUCGAAUCCGACAAGAGGCU